rnacentral:rRNA from 1 species
UACGUAGGGUGCAAGCGUUGUCCGGAAUUAUUGGGCGUAAAGAGCUCGUAGGCGGUCUGUCGCGUCGGCUGUGAAAACUUGGGGCUCAACCCCAAGCCUGCAGUCGAUACGGGCAGACUAGAGUGUGGUAGGGGAGACUGGAAUUCCUGGUGUAGCGGUGAAAUGCGCAGAUAUCAGGAGGAACACCGGUGGCGAAGGCGGGUCUCUGGGCCGUAACUGGCGCUGAGGAGCGAAAGCAUGGGGAGCGAACAGG